GUGCUCACUUUGGUAGCACAUACACUAAAAUUGGAAUGAUACAGAUUAGCAUGGCCCCUGUGCAAGGAUGACCCAUAAAUUCUUGAAGCAUUUCAUAUUUUU
rnacentral:snRNA from 1 species